rnacentral:tRNA from 1 species
GCAUCGGUGGUUCAGUGGUAGAAUGCUCGCCUACCACGCGGGCGGCCCGGGUUCGAUUCCUGGCCGAUGCA